AUGAUAGUAAUUUUACGGAUGGGUCUUGAGGCAGAUUGGCCUGAAGACAGCUAUGAGUAUAUAUGGAAGGAGACAGCCUGCAUCUGUUGUUUUAGGCAUUCAUUUAUGGGGGAUGAGCAGUUAGACACAUUUCCACAGGAAGAAACGAUGAUCUCUUCAGUUAGUGUUAAGUUAAUUACACUAGAUGAGUGGAAAAAGUGCUGGAAUGAGGAAAACCAUUGGUCUUGCUUAUAUUGCUGCACUGCAUGUGAAGAAGGGACACUUUCAGACUUUUUUUAUAAGGAAGAUGUUUCUGUGCUGACAGCAUCAGUUCUACCUAAGAGCACAACUGCCAAGACACUUCCACUGAUGGACAGUUCUGACUUUCACCUUCAGAGGAGUCCAAUUCACAAGCUGGAGCAGCUUGUGCCCACCAUGAUAGGAAGGGAGUGGCAAGAGCCAAGCUGCUGCGUGCCAGGCAAAGGUGAAUGACUGUAUUUCUGCCUGGCUGCUAUGUCUUAUUUCUGUCUAAGGAGGAAAAAAUAUCAGUGUUCUUAAUCAUGCAUUUUAAUCAUGCUUGGUGUAACGCUGAAUAAUAUUCUCCUAUAAAUGUGUAUAAAGAGCUUUCCAAAAGAAACCUUAGCAUGCUGACACUCUAUCCGCUUCUAAGACUAUCCAAACAGAAAUUUAGGAAUGAAAACCCUGGGUCAAAACUGGAACGAUGCUGAAUGACUACCAUACCGUCAGUUGGCAGCUCGGCUGAAUAAAAAUUAGCCAAGUACCA
ensembl:lncRNA